rnacentral:rRNA from 1 species
GCUAUACAUGCAGUCGACGGUGGCAGCAAUGCCAUAGUGGCGCACGGGUGCGUAACGCGUAGGCAAUCUGCCUACUUCUGGGGGAUAGCCCGCCGAAAGGGGGAUUAAUACCGCAUAAGACCACAACACGGCAUCGUGUAGUGGUUAAAGAAUUUCGGAAGUAGAUGAGCCUGCGUGCCAUUAGCUAGUUGGCGGGGUAACGGCCCACCAAGGCGACGAUGGCUAGGGGAGCUGAGAGGCCGAUCCCCCACACUGGCACUGAGAUACGGGCCAGACUCCUACGGGAGGCAGCAGUAGGGAAUAUUGGGCAAUGGAGGAGACUCUGACCCAGCCAUGCCGCGUGACGGAUGAAGGCCUUCUGGGUUGUAAACGUCUUUUGCCCGGGAAGAAAAAGCCCUUGCGAGGGAAAUCGACGGUACCGGGUGAAUAAGCACCGGCUAACUCCGUGCCAGCAGCCGCGGUAAUACGGAGGGUGCAAGCGUUGUCCGGAUUUAUUGGGUUUAAAGGGUGCGUAGGCGGCCCUGCAAGUCCGUGGUGAAAGCCUGCCGCUUAACGGCAGAACUGCCAUGGAUACUACAGGGCUUGAGUCCAGACGAGGUUGGCGGAAUGGAUGGUGUAGCGGUGAAAUGCAUAGAUACCAUCCAGAACCCCGAUUGCGUAGGCAGCUGACUAGGCUGGUACUGACGCUGAGGCACGAAAGCGUGGGGAGCGAACAGGAUUAGAUACCCUGGUAGUCCACGCCGUAAACGAUGGAUACUCGCUGUGGGCAAUAUACGGUCCGCGGCUUAGCGAAAGCGUUAAGUAUCCCACCUGGGGAGUACGCCGGCAACGGUGAAACUCAAAGGAAUUGACGGGGGCCCGCACAAGUGGUGGAGCAUGUGGUUUAAUUCGAUGAUACGCGAGGAACCUUACCUAGGCUAGAAUGCGCGUGACCGGCUCAGAGAUGAGCCUUUCCUUCGGGACACAAAGCAAGGUGCUGCAUGGCCGUCGUCAGCUCGUGCCGUGAGGUGUUGGGUUAAGUCCCGCAACGAGCGCAACCCCUAUGUUUAGUUGCCAGCGGGUUAUGCCGGGGACUCUAGACAGACUGCCUGCGCAAGCAGCGAGGAAGGCGGGGACGACGUCAGGUCAUCAUGGCCCUUACGCCUAGGGCUGGGCACAUGGGGCGCUAUACAUGCAGUCGACGGUGGCAGCAAUGCCAUAGUGGCGCACGGGUGCGUAACGCGUAGGCAAUCUGCCUACUUCUGGGGGAUAGCCCGCCGAAAGGGGGAUUAAUACCGCAUAAGACCACAACACGGCAUCGUGUAGUGGUUAAAGAAUUUCGGAAGUAGAUGAGCCUGCGUGCCAUUAGCUAGUUGGCGGGGUAACGGCCCACCAAGGCGACGAUGGCUAGGGGAGCUGAGAGGCCGAUCCCCCACACUGGCACUGAGAUACGGGCCAGACUCCUACGGGAGGCAGCAGUAGGGAAUAUUGGGCAAUGGAGGAGACUCUGACCCAGCCAUGCCGCGUGACGGAUGAAGGCCUUCUGGGUUGUAAACGUCUUUUGCCCGGGAAGAAAAAGCCCUUGCGAGGGAAAUCGACGGUACCGGGUGAAUAAGCACCGGCUAACUCCGUGCCAGCAGCCGCG